AUGAACGCUAGCGACAGGCUUAACACAUGCAAGUCGAGGGGUAACAGGGUAGCAAUACCGCUGACGACCGGCGCACGGGUGAGUAACGCGUAUGCAACCUGCCUAUAACUGGGGAAUAGCUCCCUGAAAGGGGAAUUAACACCGCAUAACACUAUUGAUUCGCAUGAAUUGGUAGUUAAAUGUAGCGAUACAGGUUAUAGAUGGGCAUGCGUGACAUUAGCUAGUUGGUGAGGUAACGGCUCACCAAGGCUACGAUGUCUAGGGGUUCUGAGAGGAAGGUCCCCCCACACUGGUACUGAGACACGGACCAGACUCCUACGGGAGGCAGCAGUGAGGAAUAUUGGUCAAUGGGCGCAAGCCUGAACCAGCCAUGUCGCGUGCAGGAAGAACCUGCCCUAUGGGUUGUAAACUGCUUUUAUAGUAGAAGAAACACAUCUACGAGUAGAUGUCUGCCAGUAUACUAUGAAUAAGCAUCGGCUAACUCCGUGCCAGCCGCCGC
rnacentral:rRNA from 1 species